rnacentral:rRNA from 1 species
CGGCCGCGUCGACGAACGCUGGCGGCGCGCCUAACACAUGCAAGUCGAACGGAACUUGAGAGAGCUUGCUUUUUCAAGUUUAGUGGCGAACGGGUGAGUAACGCGUGAGUAACCUGCCCUGGAGUGGGGGACAACAGUUGGAAACGACUGCUAAUACCGCAUAAGCCCACAGCACCGCAUGGUGCAGCGGGAAAAGGAUUUAUUCGCUUCAGGAUGGACUCGCGUCCAAUUAGCUAGUUGGUGAGGUAACGGCCCACCAAGGCGACGAUUGGUAGCCGGACUGAGAGGUUGAACGGCCACAUUGGGACUGAGACACGGCCCAGACUCCUACGGGAGGCAGCAGGUGGGGAAUAUUGCACAAUGGGGGAAACCCUGAUGCAGCGACGCCGCGUGAGCGAAGAAGUAUUUCG